UACGAGUGCCUCGAGCGUUGUCCGGAAUCAUUGGGCGUAAAGAGCGUGUAGGCGGCCAUUUAAGUCCUGCGUGAAAUCCUGCGGCUCAACCGCAGGCGGUCGUGGGAAACUGGAUGGCUAGAGUGCGGGAGAGGAGAGUGGAAUUCCUGGUGUAGCGGUGGAAUGCGCAGAUAUCAGGAAGAACACCCGUGGCGAAGGCGGCUCUCUGGAACGCAACUGACGCUGAGACGCGAAAGCGUGGGGAGCAAACAGG
rnacentral:rRNA from 1 species